GUUGCUCCUGUUGGUUGCUCCUGUUGGUCAGCCCUGUUGGUUGCUCCUGUUGGUCAGCCCUGUUGGUUGCUCCUGUUGGUCAGCCCUGUUGGUCAGCUCUGUUGGUUGUCCUCCUGUUGGUUGCUCC
rnacentral:lncRNA from 1 species